GUGGGGAAUUUUGGACAAUGGGCGAAAGCCUGAUCCAGCCAUGCCGCGUGCAGGAUGAAGGCCUUCGGGUUGUAAACUGCUUUUGUACGGAACGAAAAGACUCUGGUUAAUACCUGGGGUCCAUGACGGUACCGUAAGAAUAAGCACCGGCUAACUACGUGCCAGCAGCCGCGGUAAUACGUAGGGUGCAAGCGUUAAUCGGAAUUACUGGGCGUAAAGCGUGCGCAGGCGGUUAUAUAAGACAGAUGUGAAAUCCCCGGGCUCAACCUGGGAACUGCAUUUGUGACUGUAUAGCUAGAGUACGGUAGAGGGGGAUGGAAUUCCGCGUGUAGCAGUGAAAUGCGUAGAUAUGCGGAGGAACACCGAUGGCGAAGGCAAUCCCCUGGACCUGUACUGACGCUCAUGCACGAAAGCGUGGGGAGCAAACAGGAUUAGAUACCCUGGUAGUCC
rnacentral:rRNA from 1 species